rnacentral:sRNA from 1 species
GUCACACCGACCUGCACCAUCUCUCGCCGCCUGUGGGGUUUCUGUCAACUAGUCGUGGAGGGGAGGAAACUCUUUAAAGAAUAACAUCUUAUUGUGGCCAUGCCAGAACCCACUAAGAAAGAGGAAAAUGAAGUGCCAGCCCCAGCCCCGCCCCCGGAAGGUGAGUAAAAACACUGCCUCACACACGUUUGGGCUGCAAAUACAGAACGUCCAUCCCAGCAUGAUUUGGCCUCCACGGGUGCUGUGAGCUGUGAGCUUUAACCUAACUCCUACUGAGAAGUUGGAUGGUGACCAUUGUGAUAAGUUGAGAAUAAUAAAAAUAAUACAUUGUGUUUAUAUAAUCUUCUUGUGUUAAUCUAAUUUGGAUGACACUUCAUAUAUAUUAGGGGGACAAUUCUUAGGAAACCUUUCAAAUUAUGUAAAAGUUAUUAUGUCCGCAUUUUACAGUGUGGAGGCUGAGCCUCCAUCCAAGGGGCUGAAGAAUUUGUGAGGCUUUUUCCUAUAUAGCGAAGGUCAAACAAACCCACAUCUUCUUUAUGAGAGUGGGGAGUGGAUCCAUCUCUACCCUGGAAGUGAUAUAUCAAGGAGUAAAUACCCCUGGACAACCAGUCUUCCUGGAGGGGCAGCAACAGUCGUUGCACAAUAAGGAUUUUUGAAUGUAUAAUAUCAUCUAAGGUGGGCUCUCCUUCUGCAGGCUCCUCUUGCAAGGCGUACCUCCAAACAUAAUUGAUUCAUAUCUGCGAGACUUACACUCAAGCAAUCCUGAGGAAUACUGAGGGAGGGCCUGGCCACUGCCUCUCUGCACUCUGCUGCUUUGAAAUCUGGUUGAAAUGAGAAAAAGCAUUUUCUGUUUUCCCACCAGGCCCCCAAGUGUGGUCUUUUUCUUUCCUCCUAAUGUUGAAGAGAAAAAAAAAAAAAAGUUUGCUCAGAUUGCUUAAUUAAAAAUUGCAAACAAAAUCUCAUUUGAAGUCA